ACUUCGCCAUCUGCAGUGCCACUGGUUGUCAUGGUGAGGACAGGUGUCGGCUUGCACGGUGGCCGUCACAACGUUUGCCGGGAGUGACGUGCGCCACUACCGCUCAAAUUUCAUUGGUUUGAACAAGUCACGCGGCCUCCCUGAAUUUAAGGGACCACGGUGGAAGUGUAAUCCAGCAUGCGUGUAGAAUGAAGAUUCGAAAAAUCUGGAGGACAGCCCUAAUAACACACGGGCUGACGUGGGAAAGAGCAAAGACCAGGUCAUGGGUGGGCCUUGAGUGCCGUGUUCAGGAGCGCGGAAUUUUUAUCCUGUGCACAAUGGGCAGCGCUGAGUAGGGGUGUGCGGAUCUCACUGGAUUCCACGGAGGGGGAGGAAGCGUGGCCUGGAAGGGAGAGAAGACCGAACUUGAGAAAUCGAAGGGUGUGUGAGACGCUGUUUUACAAAAUGAGGGGGAGCGGAGCGCGGCGCCUGAGAACGCAAUGCUGGAGCCGGAGGGACUCGGCUCACAUGCGAGCGUGGCCUCGACGAGCUGUGUGACCUCGGACAAGUUAUUUCCUCUUCCUGGGCGUCACGUUCGCCAUCCUUCAUCACCAAUGUGAUGGGUUCAUCACCAAUCCUAACAGAGCCACAUGCAUGAAUAUGCGUAGGUGCUUAGACCGUUGCCAGGUGCUGUUGCAUUACAUAAAGUCGGUUAUGUUCUUUGGAUGCA